CAUUCAUAAUAACUUGCAAGAAGGAAUCUGCCGAGGUUUAUUGUGCGCUUUUGCCUGUGGUUUUUGGGAUCGUUUUGGCUAGUAAUAGUGAGCCUCUGUUUCAUUUAUUUGGGNNNNNNNNUACUGCUGGGCGUGCUUUGAAGUCUGUGGUUCAAGGAAUUUUAUUAACCUCAGAAGCUGAGAAGCUCCAUUCUAUGAAUUUGUUGCUCUAUAUGGCAC
rnacentral:misc_RNA from 1 species